GCUAGCGAGCUAACUCCACGUAAACCAAAAGCGAAUGAAUGGGAUUUACUACUUAUCCAAAGCGAGACUAUUCAACUUCUACGGAGCAAAUGUAUGCAAUGGCACCAAGAUGAGGCAUUUGCAACACUUCGUAUCUUGAUCCCUGGGCAAACUAGGUAGAGUGUCAAGGUAGUCCACAGAUGUGUGAAGAACGCAGAACUGGGCUGUAUGCAUCAGAUUUACUG